GGACUUCACAUUGUCUACACCUGCUUCUCAUGCACCUCGUGCAUUUCUCUGCCUCCUUCAGUUCCAGACAGGGGUGAUCCUGAGCUCUCUUGGCAGGAUGAAGUUAAACACCUGACCUGAUCAUGCAGCAGCUGUAAUGUACGGCAGUGCUGGGCAGUGUUUGAAAUACAGUAUCUCCAGAGGGGUAAGAGCUGACCACAAUUUGAGAAUGGAAAAGGAGUGACUUUGGCUUUGCCUAUAUAAGUUGCAAGAUUUGGACAUCAGCAAAUGUCACAGUAAAUGACAGGAAUUAUGGUAGAAAAUCACAAGGAACUGGAUAGCAAGGCUCUAGAAAACAACAGGAGUAUUGAUUUGGAACAGCCUUUCCUGACUUUGCAUAAUUUCUACAUGAAACUCCAGAUUGGAGGGAUUCUAGUGACUAAAGUAGUGAAUGAAGCAAGAAGAGCUGAAGAACUGUGCUACUUUGUACUCAGCUGGAAUGAGAAGUCACUCUCUGGUCCUGGGCCAGCAAAGUAAUCAAUGCCGUUUAACUGCUUCUAAUUUCACAGGAUCAGUGCUUUAAAGUUUGAAAUAAAAUUGCCAUACUUCAAAGUUAAAGUUAAAUACAAGUAAGGGGCUGUGGGAGUUUGAGAGAGAGUGAUGGAGAGGAAAUGUUCACUGACUAGGACUGUGAUACCCCAUGUGUGUCUCUGAAUACAAAUCCAUUAAUAGGCAAAGUGCUUUUUAUUUAACUGCUUAUUUCUUCUGACUACAUAGUAAUUAAGAACUUUUCAGAGUUAACUCUUGGAAAAAGGAUACGUCUAAUAUGAGGUGCUAUGUAUUUAUCUCAGGUUGUAGAUUGUUGAAGUAGGUGCUAGGGAACUAUAGAAAGUACAUGCUACCUAGUUAAUCUGUGAUAUUCUGGUGUAAAAAUGAUUCUAUGUUUAAUAUCUUUUUGACAAGUUUGAGGGCUGAGGUAUUAUGUUCAUGAAUAAAUAGUAAAAUUUAGGAUUAGGGCUUUGUGCAGAAAUUGUUCUGUUCCAACACAGAAGGAAAAAUAUCUGACUGAUCCCCACGGGAAAUCUGACCUGUUCUCUAGAUGAGAUUUCAGCUGUGCCUUUGUAGCACUUUCUCUCAUGCCUCCACAUUCCUGUUACAGUGAGUAUAUCUGUCUACAGCAGCAGUGUAGUAUAUGAUCUUGCUAGUCUGGUUCUGAAACUCCCCUCUAAUUCUUCAUUACAUAACUCAGAUGUCUUUGCAUGUGUGUCCUGGGAAGAGGGGGCAGUCCUGUGAAGAAUUAUUCAGCCCUGAUUUUUUGCUUUAUCCAAGAUUUUGGUUCACAAAUGCAUUUUGGUUCAACUCUCAUCUGUCCCCUAGAGCUCAAUUUAAUUUUUACAGCAAAUACCACCUCUGCUGUGCCUCCUUGUCUGAGCUGUUUGCAGCUGUUCCUAUCUUUGUGAGUCUCAGUGAAGUGUUUGUUUCUUGUGUUACUGCCCAGUUUGAACUCUUAUUGGAACACUCUGGGCUCCACUGACAGAAGGUGCCCUCCUCCUGCCCCUGGCUUUAUCACGCACUGGGUGUAUUUAAUCUCCCCUGCUCUGAUGUGGUCUGAGGGCUUUAGCAAGCUGUUGCCAUCUUCCUGAGGGGACAGGACUCUAGGGACAGACAUGCUAGAGUGAUGGCGAGAGAGAGAGAGAGAGAGAGGAGGCUUUUAAACACUGUGUGCUACCUGUCAAAGAAGAAAAACACCAAGAAGUUAUAGUAAGCAGGAAGAGUCUCCACAGACUUGACAGCUGAACUUCUGAAUGAGCUGUAAAGUGCUUUUCAGCUCUUUUGUGUAUCCGAAUUUAAAGUGGCAACUGCUCAUGAAGAUGAG